rnacentral:rRNA from 1 species
GUGGGGAAUAUUGCGCAAUGGGGGCAACCCUGACGCAGCAAUACCGCGUGAGUGAAGAAGGUUUUCGGAUCGUAAAACUCUUUUAUUGGGGAAGAAGAAGUGACGGUACCCAAUGAAGAAGUCCCGGCUAACUACGUGCCAGCAGCCGCGGUAAUACGUAGGGGACAAGCGUUGUCCGGAAUCACUGGGCGUAAAGGGCGCGUAGGCGGUUUUAUAAGUCAGAUGUGAAAGGUACCGGCUCAACCGGUGACGUGCAUUUGAAACUGUAAGACUUGAGUACUGGAGAGGCAAGUGGAAUUCCUAGUGUAGCGGUGAAAUGCGUAGAUAUUAGGAGGAACACCGGUGGCGAAGGCGGCUUGCUGGACAGAUACUGACGCUGAGGUGCGAAAGCGUGGGGAGCGAACAGGAUUAGAUACCCCUGUAGUCC